rnacentral:rRNA from 1 species
GACGAACGCUGGCGGCGUGCUUAACACAUGCAAGUCGAACGGUAAGGCCCUUCGGGGUACACGAGUGGCGAACGGGUGAGUAACACGUGGGUGAUCUACCCUGCACUUCGGGAUAAGCCUGGGAAACUGGGUCUAAUACCGGAUAGGACCCUGGGAUGCAUGUCCUGGGGUGGAAAGCUUUUGCGGUGUGGGAUGGGCCCGCGGCCUAUCAGCUUGUUGGUGGGGUGAUGGCCUACCAAGGCGACGGCGGGUAGCCGGCCUGAGAGGGUGACCGGCCACACUGGGACUGAGAUACGGCCCAGACUCCUACGGGAGGCAGCAGUGGGGAAUAUUGCACAAUGGGCGCAAGCCUGAUGCAGCGACGCCGCGUGAGGGAUGACGGCCUUCGGGUUGUAAACCUCUUUCAGCACCGACGAAGCGCAAGUGACGGUAGGUGCAGAAGAAGGACCGGCCAACUACGUGCCAGCAGCCGCCGUAA